ACAGAACAUUCAAGUAACAAAGGAUGUACAGUUGCAAAUAAUAGCAUUGUUUGAACAGAAGAUGUGAAGCCAUCUGCCGCUUCCCAGGGCCCUCAGCACACAGGAUUGUUUUUUUAUUAAACAAAGUAGAACCUCUUGAUGCAUCAGUAAUUCAAAGCUUUCUGAGUAUGCAAGGCAAAAUAGCUCAACAUCCAGUUCGCUAUGAGCAUUUCUCGUAAGUGUUGUAGACGACAAAAUAUACUACAGUUAGAUCCCAAUACUGCUAUAAAUCAUUAACAGAUUACAAGAUUAUAUGCAUAAUCACAUAACCACAAAUUGUAGAAAGAGAGGUCGUAUUUAUUAAAAGAAGAAAUGGGAGGCUCAGAGUUGGCUCGUCUAUCAUAUGGGCAAAACGCACUCUGUAUCCGAUACACUUGGUGAUACACGUUGGAGAUGCCCCUGUGUGACAUUUCAGCAUUCCAAUGGUUGCUCACGGAAAGCAAGCAAUCCUCAUUUGAACGCUUCCACCUAGUCACACAAAACCCUAACACAUACCAUAAAUACAAGUGAUGGUAUCUGAGAUCUCAAUAAACCCCUGAAUGAGCGCCUUACUCAUCAUCGUCAUCAACAGCACUUUGGCGCAAAUCCCACAAAGAGAAUAACAGAUGACCAGAAACCACAGGAGAAUCAGUAAAAGCAGAAAGAAUCACUAUAUCAGGAGCAAAUCAUGAACUGGUGAACACAAAAACUGGAACAUGUAUAAGUAAAUGGCUCAGAUACACUUCCAUCUCAACACCAUAAGUGAAUUUCUGGUAGGAUGACCAUGAACAUUUAUAGUAUUUGUGAACGGAGGGAGUAAUAGUUAGCCGCUAAACUGGUUACUUGCUGUGACACAAGCCAUCCUAGUUUAGCACCAAGUGAAUCAAUUCAGGUGUUAGAUAGAAGCUCUCACAGGGACGCUAUAUCAUCACAGCCAUUCAUGAACAUGACACGAAGAAAACAGUAAUCUUAACAUGCCAUAUACGACCCUUAAGUUGAAACUUGAAACCAGUAAAGAAGUAACGAGAAACCAAAAGUACAAACUGAUAAGUAGAUAAAGAAUACAGCAGAAGAAUGAAAUUAUCAAGUCAAAUUGAUAGGGAGACGGCAGGCAUCACCACCAGCAUCCUUCCUCGUCGAUGCCUCUCCCUCACAGAUGAAGCUUUAUAAGGACAUAGGGAUGGCAUGCAUUGAUAGUGGAAGUUAAGGAGGACUACAAUGGCAAAUAUCAAUAAGAAAAUUUGACAAUGGAUGCAAAAACAGGACCAAAAACUGAAAAAUAGCAUCAACAAGAAUCUGCUUUUAAAUUGGUUCAAUAAAAAGAUUUCACACCAUCUCACCUUCCCAGAAGGUCCACACAAAGAACCAGAGCCAUAACAAAGAACCCAAAGCCAUAGGUAAUGCCAGGUUUCUUUUUCAAGCUACAGGCCCACAAUGUACAGAAUAUAUACAACUUAAUUUUCGCAAUGAGCCCAUGACCAUUCACAGUUACCAAACAGGUAUUCUUAAAAUCAAGAAGAAACAGAGAAAGUUAUUAGGGAAAAUCAAGCUGUUUUCUGGAAUAUAUUCUAAAGUUACUCACUGAUCAAAAUUACUAUAACCAAACAGUAGUAGAAGUAUCAGACACAGGUGUCAUAACAAACACAUGCACGAAUAGUUCGCAAAAUCCACAAAAAAGUUGGAGUAUUACUUGAAUGGCUCAGAUUUAACCCACCAUAUAUCACCAAAGUUGGAAAAUGCUUCAGGUAGGCCUUUCGGUACCAAACAACAACAACAACAACAACAACAACAACAACAACAACAACAACAAAGCCUUUCAGUCCCAAACAAGUUGGGGUAGGCAUGUGGAUAGCUAAUUUCCAUACACCCCUGCCCAUGGCUAGUUCUUUGGUGAUAUUCCAGUCCUUCAGGUCUCUCCUUACCAUCUUUCUCUCUCUCUCUUUCCUCGCCCAGCAACAAAUAGCCGCAACUGGUAACUUGCUGUGGAGCAAGGCCUCCUAGUAUAACGACUAACUGCUAACUGGGCAAAGUUGAAUGGAACCAAUCAUCUCUAUCUCAGGAUAUGUUGAAAGAUCUCCAACACCAAAGAGGAGGAAAUCAUCAUAGCCAUUCAGAAAAGAAUAGAACUCAUCAACACAACAGAAACAAAUAUGCUGUGUUCAGAACUUAAUUUGGAACACUAUGCUGAUGGCCGUAUUACUAGCAAUGAAAGAAGCAAUUUACAUUUGUUCACUUCAGAAAAAAGGAGUAACUGCAAGCCAAACAAAAACAGGACAACAGAAAUUUUCCAUUUUGGAAAAUAAGAAAAACAUAAGGUAGAAAUCCGAGUCAAAAACAAUAGUGUGUUCGACAUAUAUAGUUUGUGCAACUAUACAGGCAAAAACAAAGCCAGCUAGAAAUCAAUCCAAGCUAGGGCGGUUGGCUUCAUCACCAACAGAAGACAUCAAUCCAAGUCCAGAUGGGACGUUACUCACAUCAACACAAUAGAGAGGAAUAGAAAAGAAAAAACAAUGCGUAAUAGAGAAGGUAAAAUCGAAUAUUUGUGGCGUAGCAAAAGAGGGCUCAGUUUUGCCUUUCGUCUUCAAGCCCAACACUCACAUCUCUUGCUGCAUAAUCUACCCAUCGCGAAUGUAUAAGAACUGUCCUGGUUAUCAUUCAUCAGAAUGACCGUCCAAGGCGCAGAACAUAAAACAUUAGCAAUGAAUUGAACAGGCUGCAAGAGAGGUAAGGGUGUGCUCUAAUUUAGUACCCAUAGGCCACAGUUGUCUUAAUUGCUCAAGACACGCUUAUUUCAGCCACGGUCAUCAUCAUCGCCCCUGGUAAGAACUCCAUCUCUUCAUCACACAGUAGCAUGCAUACAUCAUCUAUCCAUCCAUCAGGCUGGUCAUAGUGGUAAGUAAAUUGUGCAUCCAUGAUAUCCAUUACAGGUAUGCACGCAUCCAUCCAUCCUCUUUAAUUACUUGUCGGAUCAUCUUUUUUGCCUAUGUGGCAUGCAUGUUACUACUCCCUCCGUUCCAUAAUUACUGUCGUGGCUUUAGUUCAAUCUGAACUAAAACCUAAGUUACUCCCACUAUGACUAGUCCCAGUCUCAGGAGCUGCUCACUGACCAAACCUCCGAGUGUGGACGACGCAUCAGACAACGCCUUACGGUUCCCAGCCCACGCCACAACUAAAUCCAAGGCAAUGGAAUGGCAGUGGCUGGCAGCACCGUAGAGACGGAGAACUGACGUGGCAGCCACCCGGGCGAUGGGGUAGCAAGUCGGCAAUGAGAGCUUGACUGGUUUGUUUUAGAGAGAGAGAGAGAGAGAGAGAGAGAGGCGAGGAGGAUCCAUACCGGAUCCAAAACAAAAUGCAACUGAACUGAGUAUAUGUAGCAUAGCAAAAGAGGGCUCAGUUUUGCAUUUCAUCUUCAAACCCAACACUCGCAUCUCUUGCUCCAUAAUCCACCCAUCGCAGUGUAAGAGAACUGCACUGGUAAUCACUCGUCAGAACGACCGUCCAAAGGGACAGAACAUCCAACAUUGGCAAUGAAUUGGACAGGCUGCAAGAGAGGUAAGGGUGGGCUCUAAGAGCAACUCCAACAAGGAUACCGAUUUUCUGGCACUGCUUAGUCCCACCUCGCCGAGCUGUCUUGAUUGCUCAAGACAUGAUUAUUUCAGCCACAGUCAUCAUCAUCGGCAUCACCCCUCUUUUUUUUCCAAAAAGGAGGUUGAACCCCCAAGCAACAUGACCAUGAUAUCCGUACAUACAUACUCCCUCCGUUCCAAACUAAGUGUCAUGGUUUUAGUACACGACACAUUAAUGCAGCCAUCCUUCUCAGGAGCUGCUCAUACCUGGCGUCGGCCGACCAAACUUCCCAGUGCGGAGCACGCAUCAGACAACACCGUGCGGUUCCUCCCAGCCCACGCCACAACCAAACCCAAGGCAAUGGAGCAGCGGUGGCUGGCGGCACUGUAGCGGUGGGGAACUGACGCUGGUCGGCGAUCCGGCAACGAGAGCUCGCCUGAUUUGGUUCUGGUGGUGUGAACUGCACGCGCGCACGCACGCACCGAGAGAGAGAGAGAGAGAGAGAGAGAGAGAGAGAGAGAUGGGGACCGUACCGGAUCCAAAGCGAAACGCAGCCAAGCUGCGAGAAAUCCAUGGACGGCGGCUCAGAUCCCGCGCCGGCCCGACCAAGCCCUCGACCGGAGCGCACCACGGGCACCAGCAGCCCGCACGGCCGCGGACGCCUCCCGCACCGGCGGCAGUCCCGAGGGGCCUGCGAGCCGAUGCGCGAUCCGUCGCAGCGGGAGGGGCUGGCCCCGAGGGAGCGGCGACGCGGCGCGUCCGUCGGUCGGUAGCUGGCCGGCGCCGGCGGCUCCCUCCGUCAUCGCCGCCGUCAGGAGAGGGACGCGGUCAUCGGCCACGGCGAGAGGGACGGGCGCGGCGGCAGGAUUCGGUGAGAUAUGGAUAGAGCGCUCGCAUGCUAUGCUCCGCCCCGCGCGCAGCCAUGCCGCCGGUGGCCUCUCGCAGCCGGAGUGGUCCGAGGCAUAGCUAGCUAGCUAGGGUUCGGCGCCGGCGGGAGAAGAUGGGUCCAGAUCCAGGUCCGGCUGUAGAUGCUGUAAAUAAGGACCAGUGAAAGGGUCAUUUAGCAAAAACAAUACUACUACUCCAAAUGCAUGGAGGGGAAGGGGAAUGAGAGCACGUGUUGAGGUGAGGGGAGGGGAAGAAGGAUGAAAGCAGCCUGAGGGGAGGGCAGGCGUGCCCUAGAGUCAGACCGAGUGCACGUGUCCCGUGUUGUGCCUUGACGGUCAGUCGAACAUAAAAAUUGAAAAAAAAAACAUACAUAAAUCUUCGUGUAAAAUCAAUGAUAGAAUUUAGAUGUGCAAUGCGUAGAGUACAUCUAGAUGUGCUUUAGCAAAAUCGUUUUCUCGUGUCCUCUCCAUCAAAGACAUUGUUUAACUUAGGCCAACCUCAACGCGGGCGCUCCAACGGACGCGGAUGUUGCCCUUUUUUGUAUGUUUGGGUUGGCUAGGCAAACGGUCAAUGUUCGAUUUUUGUCCGCCGAACCAUAGAUUAGCCCAACGCGGACGACAGAUUUCAGAAUUAUAAAAAACUAGAGCCAAGAAAAAAAAUAAUGAAAUAGCCACCAGAAGUCCAGUUUACAUAAAUUAAAAUGAAAACAUAAAAAAAAUGAAAAUGAAAACAGGCACACGGUGGAUGCAGGCAGUGGCGGCGGCGUCAUCCUUCUCGGUCAAGUCGACGUACACCGGCGCAUCCAUCCACGAAGGCUGCUAGCGCCGCGCUGCACCUGUCGCCGCCUGCUGGACCGGUUGAGUGGUGUGUACAUGUGUGUCGUCUGCUGCUUGGCUACCAACGACGCGUGUCUCGGCCUCCUACAGGUGUCGUUGCUUCUCCUCUUCGUCACGCCUAGCGGAACAGGCGUGCCCAUGAAAUUGAACGCCGCAACUCCUCGAGCACAUGCGAUGCUUGCGGGUAAACCUGGGCAAACGUCGGGCCGGGCUUGUAAAAGCCCGACCUUCAUUUCUCAAGCCCGAGCCCGGCCCGAAGCCCGAAAUACUCCCUGAAAUCAAGCCCGAGCCCGGCCCGAAAUCAAGCCCGAAGCCCGAAAGCCCGGCCCGAACGCUGUUUUUUAGUACGUGUACGUGCAAGCCCGGCCCGAAGCCCGAAAGCCCGGCCCGAAAAAUAGAAAAAGACAAGCCCGAGCCCGGCCCGAACUACCUUUCGGGCUGCAAAACAAAGCCCGAGCCCGGCCCGAGUGUCAAGCCCGGCCCAACCCGGCCCGGGUUUUUCGGGCCGGGCUCGGGCCGGGCUGCCCAUGCCCGGGUUUACUUGCGGGUGUGGCCGCGGCCCGUUGGUCUCCACGCCGGUCGUUUAACUAAUUAAUGUUGAACCUUAUACUCCCACUAUUCCUUAAUACAGUGCAUAUAUGUUAUCUUAAAAGCCAAACUUUAUUAACUUUGACCAAGUUUAUAGAGAAUAAAAUACUUUAUAUAAUAAGAUGGACUAUCUCAUAUUAUUAUGUAUGUGAUAUUGUAGCUGUAGAUAAUUUCACCCAUAAACAUGUUUAGAGUUGACUCCUAAAAUAAUUUAUAUACACUAGAAGUAUUAAGCCUAAAACCUUACACACUCAAGACCACUUGUACCAUCGUUCAGGACAAAGGCCACUUCAAAGUUAUUGAUCCUAGGCCCCACGAUCAGCAGGCAUCGGCCUGGCUCGAUGAGAAUUUUGGGGGCCAUUGCUUUGGUUGAAGGAGAUUUACAUCUCCCACAAGGACCGGACGUGAAUACCCCGCAAAAAGAAAAGGACCGGACUUGAAGCACGAGAUGUGAUGUGUCCUCAUCCUAAUACUCUUUCGCUUUAUGUAUUUUCAACUUGUCUAGAUCACUCUCAUCGGUGUUAUUAAGCCAAAUCAUCAUUUCAUCUCAAGACUCAAUCUACAUGUGCCCAUCAUGUACCCCAACAAACGAGCAUAAACCCCCACCGAACCAGCCUAGACAAAGAUUACACCAAAAAGCGACGAGUCGGCCCACUGCAUGAAAUGCAGAAGAAAAGAACUGGCUUCGUGGUGGACCAAUAUGUCAAAGCCCAAUACCGCAAACCGGAAGGCCAUGGCUUCCCUAACAAUGCUCAUCUCUUGGGUUAUUUGAAACGAGAGAAAUUCUAGUGUUUAGAAAGAAAUCCACUAACAUUGUCAUGCUUAUCCACCCCUUCUACAUUCUCAAGCUCAUCCAGGACGAGGCAAGGCUUUUGGAUCACAGCGGGAGGUAGGCAUCUGAGCAUCAUCAUGCCGCACUUUUUUGUGUUGGUAGGUGUUCGUGAUGUAUAGUUAUCUCUAUUGGGCUAUGAUGUGGAACCAAUGUGAUGUGGAGUCAAGAAUACCAACAUGAGCAAAAUCCAGUUAGGUAGUUAUCGCAGAGAAAAAUACACCCUCUGUACUAAAUUUAAGCCGUUAAUAGGCCAUUAAAUUCUAGCUCUGCAUAACCCGGCAAUCCGGCCCAUGGGCACCCGAACCGAAUAAUAUUUAUAUGUAUAGAUUGUACUCCCUCCUUCCGGGAAAAGUUGUCACCGUGGCUUUUUUGCAAAAAAAAAAACCUUUGCUUUAGUCCGACACAACCCGCACUCCUCCGCCGCUCCUCUGCUCUGCUCAGCUCUACUCAGCUCCCUCGCUCGUCCUCCGCCGCAGCUCCCCUGCUCCGCUGCCUGUCCCCUCCUCCGCCGCCUCCCUGCUCCCGGUCCAUUUCCCCGUGCAGCUCCCGCCUCCCAUACCUAAAAAUCAUGUCUUCCCCCAAUCAACGGCAGCGAGGACGAAGCGGCGCUCGAUCUAGAGGGCACGGGGACGAGGGCAGCGACAAGUGUAGUUCUUAAUGAUGCAGAGCGCGGUGGAUGCUCCGGUGGGCUUCUACGGUGAACUCCAUCCUCUCCCUCCCCACCACCAGGACCACCUCCGGUCGCUCCCUUCCGCCCCGCGCCGCAACCACCCUCCCCUUCCCAAGAACCAUCGCCAGACCAUGUUCAUGUCGUCGGAAGGCGGGAGCACCAACGGCUCGUUGCUGGGGCUUCCCCCCUGGACGAGGAGGAGGACAACGAGGCCUGCCCCGUCAAUGGUUGCUGCUGAAUUGCAGUAUUCCUCGGGUCACGACGGUUGCUGUAUGUCCCAAUGUCAAAGGUUUGACAUUUGUUGCUGCUGAAUUGCAGUAUUCCCCGGGUAACGACGGUUGCUGCAUGUCCCAAUGUCAAAGGUUUGACAUUUGUUGCUGCUGAAUUGCAGUAUUCCUCGGGUCACGACGGUUGCUGUAUGUCCCAAUGUCAAAGGUUUGACAUUUGUUGCUGCUGAAUUAUGAAUUCUCAUCCUCUUUUCUUGUUGAUGUUGAAUGCUAAAUUCCGGCGAGCAGCUCCUCAGGUCGCCGGGCUUCUGGUGAAGAUCUUCGUGUGGGUCCUCGAGAUGCCGGUGGUGGGCUGGAUCUUGCUCUACAUCCUCAAGAAGGACAAUCUCAUCAACAAGGUGCAUGCACUUGUGCUGAAUGUUUUUUUAUGCCUGAGCGUCGCAAUUCUGAUUCUCAAUUCUACUCGCAUGUGUACGAUGUUUGUUCACCUGUAGGCAUUGAUCAGUACAGUUUCACCAAAGCAAUCUCUGGGCACAGUUAUUUUACAGCAGACAAUUCACUCUUCUGUGGUGUUUUUACUUUUUGCUGAAAUGCUCUGCUGAUUCAGAAAAACCAUUAGCUGCUGUUGCUGCAGACACCCUAGCCAAAUUCAGUUAACUUAAUCUGAAUAAUUCAGUUAACUUAACAGGGGAGCGUGUGUAUGCUGCGAACGAAUGCAUUUACUGAAUGUUAUUUUGAGGGACAUGUUUUUAUCAACUCUUAGUUAAGAUAAAUUAACCGUGUAAGGUGCUCUUUUGAUUACUAGUGAAGUGCUGCUCUAAAUAUCAUUGCAGCAAGAAAAACUUCAGUUUACUACAGUUUUCAGUUUGGAAUAGUGCACAAAAGACAAAUAGAUUCCUAUGCACUAUUGUGCGCUAUUCGGAGCACAAUUCAGUGUACUGCAGUUUAUUGCAUAAUUGUGCACUUUUUUAACACAUAACUUAGUCUGAAAAAAAAUUAAAAGCAACAAUGUCUAUUCCUGCUACCCUAGUUGAUCUAGUUAUGCAAAUGUUCAGAAAUGUCCAGUUUGUACAUUUUGAAAAAAGGCUGCCAUGGCCACAAAGGAUGCCAUGCAAGAUUGUUCACUUAAACUUCACUGUACAGCAACUUAAAUUUUGUGCAUCUACUGUUUACUCCACUGUACAAACUUGAAUUUGUGUGACAUGAGCUUUUGUUGGUUGCUACUCCACUAGAUAUUGACUGAUUAGACUAAACUGUAGGAUAGUGGUGCUGGUCCAUCUAGGGCACUACUCCCAUUUUUGCUCACAAUUAUUCAGAUAAGGACUACUCCUAGUAACAAAACAGAUCAUUUACUGAAAAUAGCUCUACAUAUUUUAGCAAUAGCUCUACAUUUACUGAAAAUAAACUUGAUGUACUGAGAAGAAACUUGGGCAUUGUUUACUGAAAAUAAACUUUAUCUACUGAAAAUAAACAAUCACUGAUCAGCAGCAGUUCUCAUCACCAUGAUAAGAUAAGCCAGAUGCUCUAUUUUUAAUUAACAGUAAUCCAUGAUCAGCAGCAGUUUCUUUCACUAAUUUUCAGUUAACAACAAUCCAUGAUUUUUUUUAUCAAGUGUGAUUUUGGGUAAAUAAGCCCUCUGUAAUUUAGAUCUUUACUACUGUCAAGUCUGACUUGUCAAUGAGAAACCAGUAACUAGUCAAUGUCAAAACUGUGAAAACUGAAAACAAAUUCAGUAAAUUUGAUCUUUUAUGCUGCAUUGCUGAAAAUUGACAGUAAAUUUUCAUGUACUGAAAUGAAGGCUCAAUGCUGCAUUGCUGACUGGAUAAAUUCAUUGCUGAACAAUUUCUGAACUUUAAUUUGUUCAUUGCGUAUAUGAAGGCUCUCUAGCACAUCAGGAUGAUCCACUCAUCAAAUUACAGACUAGAUGAUCCGCUGCUACUCUAAUUCACCUCAAUUUGAUCUGCACAACAAAUUAACAUCAAUUUGACAUUGAUUUCAGGGCGCUGGCUACCUUUCAGUAGCAGCAGAGGCGGCGAGGAGGAGCUGGGUCGCCUGGACGAAGAAGAAGAAAUCGGCAAGGAGGAAAGGGUGGGCGGCGGUGGUCGCCUCUGUAGCAGGUGGGCGGCGGCGUUGGGCCCUACAGUGUUUGCGCUGGUCACCUCGGUGCACGGCAGUGGAGCAGCGGCUGCCCGAGGUCUUGCCCAACUCCCACAGCAGAGUGCCCGGCCUUGGCACGCCGGGGUUGCGACCGGAGAUGCCGGGGUUGCGACCGGAGAUGCGAGCAGAACGACGAGUAGAGCCGCCCAUGAGCCGUGGAAUCACCGCCCGUCGAGGUGUCGCCGCGGAGGAGCAGGUGGGCGGCGGCAAAGCUCGCCUCCGCAGCGCAACUAGGCAAGGGCGGCGCAAGAUGGCAGCUGCGGGGCAGGUGGGCGGCGGCGCAAGUGGGACUUCAUCACGCGGUGCUCGCAGGCGAUGGGGGGAGACGAAGGCUAGAGCAUGCGGUGCCGGCGGGCGUCAGGGGAGGAAGAAGGGCUGAUUAGAACUAGAUUUAAAAUGAAAGGUUUUUUUUGUAAAGUUACAAUUGAACUACGCUGGUGACAACUUUUCCCGGACGGAGGGAGUAUAUUGGUAGUACAGUUGCAUCGAGGGGUAACGCAUAAAGCCAAGCCACUGACGUUAGCUAUCAAAAAUUUCAUUCCAAGCCAUGACAACUAAUAUUCUCGCACUCGGUUGCAUCCAAAUGGACAAGCAUGCUACCAGAUUGACCAUAUGGAUUACAGCACCGCCAACCACUUGUAUAUAUGACUUGAACAGGCAUCAGCCCAGAGAAGGGUGGACAUAUAAAAAAGCUUCAUUGCUGCUCCAAGGCAUACUUAUUACAACUAAUCAGAAAGCAUCAUCAGAACUAAUCAGACUUGAAGUACUUCAUGGUGGUAGUUCAUACUCUUGUAGCUUGUGAUUAUCUAAUAUCAAGAUUUCUAGGCGGGCAAUUUUAUUCAUAUACGUUUCAUGAAAAUUAUGUCGUUAAAGGAGGUAGUAGUUCAAGGUAGCCCACUGAAAGCUAAGGAAUUAACCACAUAGGAGAUCAAGAUGUAGAAUACACUGAAGUUCAAAUGAACAUAUUACUGGAAAUAUCAACGGUGCAUAGAAAGGGGGCAACACACAAGAGGCAAACAUAGACAUAUAUAGGGGAGGAGUGCUGCAGAUUAGGCUGCACCCCUGUGGGCCCUGGGAGUAAGCAUGUAGGCACGCAAUAUCCAACGCAUUCAUAUGGGCAAACCCCACUCUAUAUCCGAUACACUUGGCGAUCCGCGUUGCAGAUGCUCUUACACCCCUGUGUGACAUUUCAGCAUUCAAAUGGUUGCUCACUGAAAGCAAGCCAUCCCAAUUUGCACGCUUCCACCUAGUCACACAAAACCCUAACCCUAACACAUACCAUAAAUACAAGUGAUGGUAUCUGAUCUCAAUACACCUCUGAAUGAGCCUUACUCAUCAUCGCCAUCAACAGCACUUUGGCGCAAAUCCCACAAAGAGAACAACAGAGAAGCCAAUAGUCAAAGAGCGCAAGAUGGCAAGGAACCACAGGAGAAUCAGUAAAAGCAGAAAGAAUCACUAUAUCAGGAGCAAAUCAUGAACUGGUGGACACAAAAACUGGGACAUGUAUAAGUAAAUGGCUCAGAUACACUCCCAUCUCAACACUAUAACUGAAUUUCUGGUAGAAUGACCAUGAACAUUUAUAUUUGUGAACGGAGGGAAUAACAGUUAAGAAGGGAGCCUUGGAGCAGCGGUAAAGCUGUAGCCUUGUAACCUUGAGGUCAUGGGUUCGAGUCCUGGAAACAGCCUCUUGCAGAAAUGUAGGGAAAGGCUGCGUACUAUAGAUCCAAAGCGAUUGGACCCUUCCCCGGACCCUGUGCAAGCAGGAGCUACGUGCACCGGACUGCCCUUUAGGGAGUAAUAGUUAGCCGCUAAACUGGUUACUUGCUGUGACACAAGCCAUCCUAGUUUAGCACCAAGUAAAUCGAUUCAGGUGUUAAGAUAGAAGCUCUCACAGGGAGGUUAUAUCAUCACAGCCAUUCAUGAACAUGAUACGAAGAAAACAGUAAUCUUGACAGCUGAACUUGCCCUAUACGACCCUUAAGUUGAAACCAGUAAAGAAGUAACGCGAAACCAAAAGUACAAACUGAUAAGUAGAUAAAGAGUACAAUAGAAGGAUGAAAUUAUCAAGUCAAAUAGCAAUUGAAACAAGCAAACUGACCCAGCACCAAAUAAGAUAGUUUCAAAAGCCAUCCAAGGGACAGCAGAAUUAUCAUAGCCAUUCAAGAAGAAGGAAGAAACGGAAAAAGGAAAAAAAACAGAAGAAAUAAUUAAGUGUGGCUGGAGUACUGUUCCUAAAACAACAGAACUCGUUGACUACUGCAAAACCAACAAAAUGUGUAGGAAAAAAGGAAAAACAGUCCCUUGCAUCCACCAGACCAUGAUUUUACCGAAAGAACUAAUAUCAUAACCAAACUCUCAACAUAUCUUUAACAUAUACAUGGAUGCGAGCAAGCAAGAAAUACAAAUUCUCAGAAAGGAAAAGAUCAGUUCAAAUUUUGGGAAGGAAACACUUAUUUUUACUCAGAACUUUAUUGGGCGGGAGUCUCGGAAUUGGCCAAUUUAUAGAAGGUAGUCAUGGUAUUUUUGCAACAAGAGAUUAUAAGAGGUAGAUACAGGCUUAUGACAACAUUGUGUUUUUCCACGUAUUGCCUUCUAUAAGCAAUUAAAAUGGUCAUCAGCAGAAAGCAAACCGUGCAAAUUGUAUUCCUUGAGACCAGUUAGCAGUUGCUGUGCUGGACCAAAACAGUAGAAAAGAAGUUUGACAACUUGCCAACUUGAAUGUACAUCACUGCCAAAAGAACCAGUAAAAAUUUAAUAGGGGUAGUAAAUAAGGACAUGGAAUAUGACCAAAGAACUAGCCAUGGGCAAUUGGGCAGGGGUGCGAGGAAGCUAGCUAUCCAUGUGCCAGAACCAUGAGUUGGUUGCGAGAUCCUAUGGGUUUGCUGUUUUCCAUGUGCCAGCUCUAGCCUACCCCAACUUGUUUGGAACUAAAGGCUUUGCUGUUGUUGUUGGUAGUAAAGGAGGACAUGCACAGAUCAUCUUCCGCAUAUUUAACCACUCAACAGAAUGACCAUCCAAGACAGAGCCAUCAAUAUUCGGUCAGAAUGAAAAGGUCAUAAAAGAGGGGAGAGCGUUUUUUUAAUACCCACGGCUCCUCGAAUAAUCGAAGACAGGUUUAUUGUCAGCCAAGUUUGAUCAUCAUCGCCCCUUAUAAAUAGAUAGAGAGAUCCCUUUGCGCAUGCAACAGGUAAGGGUGAAAAGUCGGUUGGACCAGAUACAGAAUAUCUGCAGCUAAGCACAGUAUCAGCAGCUGGAGGGCGAUUAGAACAUGAGGAAUAGUUCACAAAAUCCUGGGGAAUUUUUGGGGAGUACUAUUUGAAUGAGUGACUCAAACACCAUGAAUCACCAAAGUUGGGAAAUGCUUCAGGUGGUACAAAGUACUGGGAAAUUUUUGGGGAGUACUAUUUGAAUGAAUGAAGUGGUACCAUAAACAAUAAAAUAUCUGUCUCCCUCUCCCUCUCUCUCUCCAGCAACAAAUUGCCGCAACUAGUAACUUGCUGCAGCGCAAGGCCUCCUAGUUUAACGACCAGCUGUCUAACUGGGCAAAUUUGAAUGGAACCAACCUAGGAGACGUGAAAGCAUCUCUAUCACAAGAUAGUUGAAAGAUCUCCAACGCCAAGGGGCAGAAAUCACCAUAGCCAUUCAGAAAAUAAUAAAACUCAUCAACACACAACGGAAACAAAUAUGCUGUGUUCAGAAGUUAACUUGGAACACUGCACUGAUGUCCGUAUUACUGGCAACGAAAGAAGCAAUUGACAUUUGUACACUUCAGAUAAAAGGAGUAACUACAAGCCAAAUAAAAAUAGGAUGACAUAAACUUUCCGUUUUGAAACAGCAGAAAAGCAUAAGCUUGCAAAAAGGGAUGCACAUAAUACAAACAGAAAACAGGAAAUGCAGCUCGCCCGUUUAUCCCAUGAAAAAUGGGUUCUAAUGCUAAAUAGUCAGACAUGUAACACUGGAUAGUGGCAAUACUAUUCCACCAUGAAACUGAACAGCGGUCAGUCCAACCUCUGGCAAAAUGAAAACACAGCCAAAUCAAGAAUACUGAAUAAAAUUUAAAAUAUAUAAUGAGAAGAGGGCCAACCGCCAACAUAUAAAUCCCAAAUGACUCAAGCAAAAGCUCCAGGAGGACAUCCAGUUAUGAUAAGACAAAAUCAAGGUUUUUGAGUCGAUGAGUCGGCGAGUCGCUCAGGGGGGGCGACUCUAGACUAGUCGUGACUCAUGGUCGACGAGUCGACAUGCGAUGAGUCGACGUGAGUUAAGUAGUAGGGAGCAGACCAGCGGCAACUAAGGGAGGAGCCGCAGCAGCAAGAGAUGGGAGGGGCAGACCUGCAGUAGCAGCAACCAAGGGAUGAGCAGCAGCAACCAGGGGAGAAGGGGACGAGCAGCCAGCCAGCGGCAGCGGCUGCUGCAGAAGAGAGCUGGGUCGGGGGAGGGGAGUGGAACUGUUCGAUCUAGGUUUCCAGACGCUCCAAUCUUCCUUCAAUAUUGGCCCAGAAGCAAUAUUAGCCCAAUAAGGCCCAAUGAAACCCUAGCCUGCCUAGCUCAAUCUGAACCAUCUAUAUUCUCUAAUCUUCACCGUCCAUCCACUCUCUUCUUUCUCUCUCUCUCACCUGCUCCCCUUCCAGCCUCCAGGAACGAAUCGACAGCCGCAAUGGCCUUGCUGCAGCUCCUCUUCCAUGGCUUCUCUGCCUUCGCCCCUUCCUCUCCGCCUCCCCCAUCCUUCUCUGCUCCGUUUUCUACGCCCAACUCCUCUUCCAUCACAGGUUGAUCGAGUCGUUCGACUCAAAAACCGCGACUAGUCGAGACUAGUCGGGACUAGUCGAUCAAGUCGCUCGACUCAUCCAAUGAUUCGAGUCGACAGGUUGAGUCAACCUUCAUGUAACGACUCGUCGACUAGUCGACGACUAGUCGCGACUAGUCGUUCGACUCGAAAUCCAUGGACAAAAUAUAAGAGCCUUUCUAACAAAUACACUUUUGCAGUUGAUAAAUUUAUUUGACACUCAUUUCGAAUCCGUGCAAGGGAUCUGUGCCACGUUGAUGCAUCAGAAAUGUGGCAGUUAAUAUUGACAGCAGCAGCUAAAGAAUAGACUAACUACCAAUGAACUAAAUAGCAUAGAGAAUCAUAACAAAAGGUCUGCUCUGACCAAAACAAAUAUGAAGGUAAUAUGAGCUUCAGAUUAUAAAAAACAGAGACAUAGCAGAUCAAAGGGCAAUCGAUAACCAGAUGAAUAGAACUGUCAAUAGCUACAAGCAUUGGAGGAAAAAAGGGCAAUCGUUUGACUCAUAUAUAGUACGUACAACUAGAAAGGCAAAAACGAUGCCAACUAGAAACCAACCCAAGUAAAGCUAGGGUUGUUGGGUUCGUCACCAAGAGAAGAUAUCAAUCCAGAUCCGGAUCUCACAUCAACACAAUAGAGAAAUAGAAAAUUAAAAACAAUGUAUAGUGGAGAAAAAAAAACUGAGUAUUUGUAGCGUAGCAAGAGGGCUCAGUUUUGCCUUUUAUCUUGAAGCCCAACACUCACGUCUCUUGCUGCAUAACCUACCCAUCGCGAUGUAAUUGAACUGCCCUGGUUAUCACUCAUCAGAAUGACCAUCCGAGGCGCAGAACAUCCAACAUUAGCCAUGAAUUGAAUAGGCUGCAAGAGAAGUAAGGGUGAGAGCUCUUAAGGGCAUCUCCAACGCCGGCACCCAUUUGGGGCCUAUUUAGUACCCACAUGCCACGGCUGUCUUGAUUGCUCAACACAUAAUUAUUUCAGCCGCAGGCAUCAUCAUCGCCCUUUUUUUUUAAAAAAAAAAAGGUCAAACCCCCCAAGCAACAUGACCAUAACAUCCAUCAUCCAUCCAUCCAUUCAUCCAUCAGACUAGCCAUAGUGGUGAGUAACUUAGACAAUCUCAGGAGCUGCUCAUACCUGGCCUUGACCGACCAAACCUCCUGGUGUGGACGACACAUCAGACAACGCCUUACGGUUCCCAGCCACGCCACAACCAAAUCCAAGGCAAUGGACUGGCGGCGGCUGGCAGCACCGUAGAGACCGGGAACUGACAUGGCAGCUACCCGGACGAUGGGUCAGCGAGUCGGCAAUGAAAGCUUGACUGAUUUGUUUAAGGGAGAGANNN
rnacentral:lncRNA from 1 species